ACUCAAAUGAAUAGACGGGGGCCCGCACAAGCGGUGGAUCAUGUGGUUUAAUUCGACGCAACGCGAAGAACCUUACCUGGGCUUGAACUACUGGUAGUAGAACCUUGGAAACAGGGGACGAACCGUAAAGCCGGUUGCCAGCAGAGGUGCUGCAUGGCUGUCGUCAGCUCGUGUCGUGAGAUGUUGGGUUAAGUCCCGCAACGAGCGCAACCCCCAUUCCGUGUUGCUACCCCCGCAAGGGGCGCACUCUCGGGAGACUGCCUCGGAUAACGGGGAGGAAGGUGGGGACGACGUCAAGUCAUCAUGGCCUUUAUGUCCAGGGCUACACACGUGAUACAAUGGCCGGUACAGAGGGAAGCAAGACCGCAAGGUGGAGCCAAUCUCACAAAGCCGGCCCCAGUUCGGAUUGUGGGCUGCAAUUCGCCCGCAUGAAGUCGGAAUCGCUAGUAAUCGCAGAUCAGCAGGCUGCGGUGAAUACGUUCCCGGGCCUUGUACACACCGCCCGU
rnacentral:rRNA from 1 species